UAGUCCACGCCGUAAACGAUGGUCACUCGUUGUGCGCGAUACACCGUGCGCGACUGAGCGAAAGCAUUAAGUGACCCACCUGGGGAGUACGUUCGCAAGAAUGAAACUCAAAGGAAUUGACGGGGGCCCGCACAAGCGGAGGAACAUGUGGUUUAAUUCGAUGAUACGCGAGGAACCUUACCUGGGCUUAAAUGUAGUCUGCAUCGCGCUGAAAAGUGCGUUCCCUUCGGGGCCGAUUACAAGGUGCUGCAUGGUUGUCGUCAGCUCGUGCCGUGAGGUGUCGGGUUAAGUCUCAUAACGAGCGCAACCCCUAUCCUUAGUUGCCAUCGGGUCAUGCCGGGGGCUCUAAGGAGACUGCCACCGUAAGGUGUGAGGAAGGUGGGGAUGACGUCAAAUCAGCACGGCCCUUACGUCCAGGGCUACACACGUGUUACAAUGGCCGGUACAAAGGGCAGCGACAUGGCAACAUGGAGCCAAUCUCUAAAGCCGGUCCCAGUUCGGAUCGGGGU
rnacentral:rRNA from 1 species